GCAGCAGUAAGGAAUAUUGGUCAAUGGACGCAAGUCUGAACCAGCCAUGCCGCGUGAAGGAUGAAGGUCCUCUGGAUUGUAAACUUCUUUUAUAUGGGACGAAACCUCUUAUUCUUAAGAGACUGACGGUACCAUAGGAAUAAGCACCGGCUAACUCCGUGCCAGCAGCCGCGGUAAUACGGAGGGUGCAAGCGUUAUCCGGAUUCACUGGGUUUAAAGGGUGCGUAGGAGGGCAGGUAAGUCAGUGGUGAAAUCCCCGAGCUUAACUUGGGAACUGCCGUUGAUACUAUCUGUCUUGAAUAUUGUGGAGGUGAGCGGAAUAUGUCAUGUAGCGGUGAAAUGCUUAGAUAUGACAUAGAACACCAAUUGCGAAGGCAGCUCGCUACACAUAUAUUGACUCUGAGGCACGAAAGCGUGGGGAUCAAACAGGAUUAGAUAC
rnacentral:rRNA from 1 species